CUGGCAUUUAUCAAGAGAAGACACACAGCACAGCCUUGCAUAAAUAAUGGCACUGGGCCAAGCACAGCUGAGGUGGUUGCCAGCACAACUCCACUGAAGUCAAAGGAAUUGCACCAUGGGUGUUUCCUUCUGGCCCGUGUUGCCCUUUCCCUUCGAGAAUGCAAAGGCAUGCGUGUGUCAAAGAAGAAGGAGCACAUAAUGAGUUAUGCUCCGUCGUGGAGAAGUAAAGAAGGCCACUGUUCUUGCUUGUCUUGUAUGGUUUUUCUUUGACAAGUUAUCAGAUUUUCUUGUUGUCAUUACUUGUUCCUUGCAAUGGAGAUGUCUACUGGCUGCUUAAUGAGGUUUUGAAUGACAGUCAACAUCUCUGCAUCCAAAAGCAAAGAAUGAGCGGAAUGCACACCACAUAAGGGUCAGAAGAGAAAUUCCUUCAUGCAGCAGUGCCUGAAGAACUGUGCAAGUGAAACAGGCAGCAAAUGUAAACGGCCUGUGAAGAAUGCAGAGCAAUGGGAUGAUCAAGGGUAAUUUCACCAGGGGGUUGUAAAUGGGUCAGGAGGGACAUUUGCAGUCUUGUUGCAUAACUAUAUGAAAAGUAAAAGCAAGAAAAGAGAAAAAGAAAAAACAAAAGAAAAAGGGGUAGGAGAGAAGCCAGGAGCAGAGUUUGGGACAUGCAACAGUUGCUUCAGGUGCAGACAUCAGCGGGCAAAUGGAAGGCACUACCCAGAGCAUCUGCAGCUGGAUGGAGGAAAUGGAGAGGGUGGAUGUGCAACUAUGCAGGCUGAAGGAGUUGAUGUGCAUCUCGUACUUCAAAGGGACAUUUUAGACCACAGAGAACUGCCUCAGCAUCAGGCUCAGGUGAUUUAUGUGCUAAUUAUGUAAAGUUCCUAGUUGAAAAAAUAGUAAGUCGAAGGCAUAGCAAUUUGUUUUUUAAACAAAUCAACAACACAUUGGCAUAGAGCUCUGAAAAAAUCACCUGAAGACACAUCACUGGUCUGUUUUGGAAAGGUGAGUACGAGUAAGAGCAGAGAGUAGCUCCUCCAUAGCGCAGCUUCCUCUCUUCAGGUCUUCAGUUUGAGCUUGCAGCAGUUGUUUCCAGAAGAGCUGCUGCUGCCCAACAGACCCCGCGGAUGGUAUUUAAUCAUUUGGCUAUGCAAUUGUUUACAUCAGAAUCUAUCAGCAAUAGAGGAUUAGGAAAAUAAACUGAUGAAAGGUGGGGAAAAAAACAAGUCUUCAUUUCACAGACCGUCAAAAUUCCCUGGUUUCUCUUCUUUUUGCAGACCGUAUGGUGAUGAGAUUAUUUCAUUAUCCCAGUGCAACUGUUGAAAAUGGGAAGGGGUGGGAAAACUGCCUUUAUGUUUCUAGAAAGGGAGAUGGGAUUUAUUCAUUAACAAGUUCAUCUUUUUAUUAGUAUUGUAUUUUUCCCAUCAGAACAAUCAGACUUGCUUCUAAAAUCAAAUUUCUUUAAAGGAAAACCCUCCCCAGAAAAUUGCAAUGGUGAUUUUUAUGUCUAUUCAUUAGGAUUUAUUAUUUUCAUUUCACUUUCAGCGGUUGAGGAGACUUGAAAAUUCGAGGCGGUCUCCUCCCUCAGAUUGCGGCGAUAGCAAGGGGCGGCGGCGGUGUGUGCGCUCCCUCUAGUGAGCUCUCUCCGAGGAGAGGUGCGCUGAGUUUGGCUGCUGCCUUCUGGGGAGCUCCUGGUGCUUCACCCAAAGUAUUUUCUUUCCACAGGUAAAAUUCAUACCACUCUCUUCUGUUCAGUCUGGGGAGCCUGGCACACGCCGAACUCUCAGCAGCGGUUAUAUAGGCUGAGUCGCUGCUGGAGUAGGGGACUGCAAAGGUGUCUUCUAGCUCGGCCACUGGUUUACUGGGCAGGUCAGUUGUGCUCUGACUUUUCUAUGCUUGUAUACAGAGCUUCUGAAAAUCCUAUUCAGUUUACUUAUACAGCUCUUUCAGCCUUCUUUCAACGAACAGCAAGUUUAAAAUAAUGAGGAGCAGAGCACUGACUGACUUCGUGCCUGUGAAGCACCUUAAGAUGCUCAGGUAGAACGAACUCUUGGUGGAAAACGCUCCCCUGGAAGAAACUAGUCAGUGGUGGAGCGCGCUGCCAGUGCAACUGUGAACUGGUGGCAGAUCGCUCACUUGUAACCUACAGCUCUACCCAUUUGAUCAUGCUAACUCUAUAGUAAUAGUUGCUUAAUAUAUGAGUAUUGCAGGGGAAGGAAAUAGAGAACAGAAUGCAAAAUCUAGUUUUUACUGUGCAUUUCUGUAUUUGAGUGAUGUAGAGAUAAAUAUAUCCUCUAAAGGAGAGCCUAGGAUAUAAAUAUCAUGUACCAUGUAAGACUUCAAAUGAGAAUUAAUAAAACCUGCAUGCUAUGUUUUGGAUGCGACCCUCUGCCAUCAUGGUCAGUAGGAAGGGUACAAAUGAGAAGAAGGGAAAAUAAAUUUUAGUUUUGUCCCAGUUUAUCCUCCAGCCUUGAAAACAUGAAACGAAAGCAGAAGAUCAAAUUAUUUUAGAGCUGUGUGUGAUUAUUCACAGGGCUAGCAGUAACAGGGUCUGGGUUUGCAAUGGAAUGGUAAGCAUUCUGCAGAAAUUGUUCCCUUCUCCUCUUGGACAGAAAGGUACCUUCUCGUUGUUCUCAUAGCAAAUCUCAGUCUUGAAUAGGAUAGCAUGAGAAAUGCAGGCAUACGAGGAAAAGGAGUGAAAUGUUUGUUUGGAAUAUCUUACGAGAGCCCCUGGGAAAUCUGGAUUUGGAUAAUCAAAUUAUGAAUUAAGUCAGGGAAGCAGAACAUGACUUUUAUUGAAAAGAUAUCAGUGAUCAAGCUGUUCCAUAAUGCACACAAAUCAAUAAACCCCCAAUGCAUUUUGAACUCUGAGCUGGAGGCAAACCAAUGGAUUACACUGCCUCCCCUUUUGGCUUCUGGAGAGGGCAAAAAUUAUGUAGCCUGCAGGGGAAACAACAGUCUUGACAGCUCUGCAUCAAUCUACUCAACUUCUAUUCCAACUGUGGUGAACGGAGAUGAUGUUGACCUCUAGGCACAAAUCGUCUGUUCAUCAUGAUGCAAUAGAAAUAUCUGAAGAUGUGCUGACGUGCAACUUUUAGCUACUUUAAAAAAAAAUAAAUUCAUGCAUUUCUAUGUUUUUAACAUAGAACUUUCAAAUCAGUUUGUGAUUUGUCUAAAAUAUGUAUAUAUAUCUCCCUACUUAAAGUCUAUAGAGCAUUUUGGUUAUCGGUAUGUUUUCAAAUCUUGUUACUGGAGACCAGACAGAACCUUUAAUUGUUUCUGGGUAUUGGAGAUUAUGAAAUUGUUGUGAUUACGGGAGUUAUUUUGUGUUAAGAGAAAAAUACAUGCCAAGUUCUAU